CAGAUGGUCGUUACGUUGUGGAGUCAAC
rnacentral:sRNA from 1 species